AUUGAACGCUAGCGGGAUGCCUUACACAUGCAAGUCGAACGGAGUGGCGAACGGGUGAGUAAUGUAUCGGAACGUGCCCAGUAGCGGGGGAUAACUACGCGAAAGCGUAGCUAAUACCGCAUACUCUCGGAGGGGCCGAUAUCGGCUUAGCUAGUUGGUGGGGUAACGGCGGACCCAGGAGACGAUCCUUAGCUGGUUUGAGAGGACGACCAGCCACACUGGUACUGAGACACGGCCCAGACGCCUACGGGAGGCAGCAGUGGGGAAUUUUGGACAAGGGGGGAAACCCUGAUCCAGCCAUCCCGCGGGUGCGAUGAAGGCCUUCGGGUUGUAAAGCACUUUUGGCAGGAAAGCGGUACCUGCAGAAUAAGCACCGGCUAACUACGUGCCAGCAGCCGCGGUAAUUC
rnacentral:rRNA from 1 species